rnacentral:rRNA from 1 species
UACGUAGGGGGCAAGCGUUGUCCGGAUUUAUUGGGCGUAAAGAGCGUGUAGGCGGCCAUGCAGGUCAGCUGUGAAAACUCGAGGCUCAACCUCGAGACGUCGGUUGAAACCGUAUGGCUAGAGUCCGGAAGAGGAGAGUGGAAUUCCCGGUGUAGCGGUGAAAUGCGCAGAUAUCAGGAAGAACACCCGUGGCUAAGGCGGCUCUCUAGUACGGUACUGACGCUGAGACGCGAAAGCGUGGGGAGCGAACAGG